GAAAGCAGCUCAGGGCCAAGGUGAAGAUAUAGAAGAUUUGAUGGAACCUGCUUCAAGAUACUGGCCAAACUUUGGCUUUAUAGAAUGCCAUGAUAUGAAACUCAGAGAGCUCCUUUGCUGACAAAUCUUGAAUAUUAAGGCUUCUAAAUCAUCACUGUUGUCAGUUAUAGGAUGUCCCUUAGUAUACUGGUGCCAGCAUGGGAAAGGACCGAACAGCAAGGGACAAGGACAUGCCAUCCACGGGUGAAAUGAGAUGUCUGCCAUGGCGGUGAGAUGACAUGGCUGCCUUGGGAUCCACGUCUCCUUCUCAUGGAGUUAUCUACAUGUUGUUUGAAAGAAUCAAAUGCUGGUUUCUUUUGACUGACGAUCAAUGUCUUGGUUGGCUGCACCCGCUGAUUUGUGAAUGAUACACUGGCAGUUACUAAGACAUCUGCUUUCUUUCACCCAGACGGCACACUGGCAGCUGGGUUAUCACACACACCGAAUUUGGAGCUAGGGAACUGGAUUCCUCUCCUAACUCAAUACUUCCUGGUUCUGUCAACUUCAGGAGCAGAGACGAGACCCUGGGCAGAGCAGGGCUGUAACACCUUCCUCUGGGGAAGCUCCGCUUUCCUGGGGACUGGAGAUGAACUGUAACAACUUCACUGGGGAAACCCUCUACUGCCUGAGCAGAGCUGAGGAGGCCUUUCCUGAAGCAGGGCUGUGAGUUGCUAUGCUUACUGUGACCUGUGGUACUCCUUGGCUUCCGAUUGCCAGAAUCCCUUUCCAUUUUAGCUGUAACACUCAGUAUUCUUUGGCUCCCCAGUAUCAAAGGCACCUGUUCCCUGGGACUGGGAGAUGGCUCUGUCAAUAAAGGGUUUGCUGUGCAAUCAUGAUGACCUGAGUUCAGAUCCUCAGCACACACACAAAAGCCUGACACUCCGUACUGGGAAGACUGAUGCAGGCAGAUCUCAUUGAGGACAUGGUCAGUGACAGAGCUUGUCUCUAAAAAUAGCUGAACAGUGAUUGAAGUAGACACCUGAUGUUGACUGCUGGCCUCCACACCUGCACAUGUAUAUAUGAAACACCCCGAAGGGGGGAGGAGAGAGGGAGAGAGGGGGGGAGUGUGUUUGCACAAACUGGAUAUCAUUAGGACAUGUCCCAUUACUUGGUGAGGAUCGUCAAGUCCAUAAUUGCAUUUUUAGGAAAAGAGACAACAACGCAUGCUUACACACAGAAUGGAAGGAGUCUGAGGCUGGACUAAAAGGUGAAAUUGUGAUAGUCUCGUAUUGU